AUACGGAGGGUGCAAGCGUUAUCCGGAUUCACUGGGUUUAAAGGGUGCGUAGGUGGGUAGGUAAGUCAGUGGUGAAAUCUUCGAGCUUAACUCGGAAACUGCCAUUGAUACUAUUUAUCUUGAAUAUCUUGGAGGUGAGCGGAAUAUGUCAUGUAGCGGUGAAAUGCUUAGAUAUGACAUAGAACACCAAUUGCGAAGGCAGCUCACUACACGAUUAUUGACACUGAGGCACGAAAGCGUGGGGAUCAAACAGGA
rnacentral:rRNA from 1 species